rnacentral:lncRNA from 1 species
GCUUCCGGUUUUAAUAAUUAUUUUUUACACUUUUUAAUUGGGUCUGCGGGUCGAAUAAUCGCGGUUCUGGUCUCUGGAGUAAAACAGGGUUACUGUAAUGGAGAGGCUGGUAAGGACAGGAGCUGUGCUGCUUGUCGGCUUUCUGCUCUCAGGGGCUGGAGGAGGCCGAGGAAGAAUAGUGGGAUUAGAGGAGGAAAAGGCCGGGAGGUAACAAAGACCUUCAGGAGUAGUAAGUGCAGGUAGGAAGGAGAAGUUCCUUCACUUUUUUAUAGGCAAUUGUAAGAGCUUUGUUUGAAUGUAAAAAUGAGCAGCAACCGGUAGCCAAUGGAGCUCAAUAAGCAGUGGAGUGACAUGUGCCCGUUUUGGCUGGUUGAAGACCAGGUGCUGGAACAUCUGAAAUGUUUUUCUACACAGGCCUGUUAGCAUUGCAUUGCAGAAGUCAAGGCAUGAGAUGACCACUGCUUGUACCAAGAGUAGGGUGUCCUGUUGCGAUAGAAAUGGUUGAAUGUCUGAUGUUGCAAAGCGAGUGCAAAGUGGCAAGACCGAGCAACUGAGACAACAUGAUGUUUAAAGGAUAGUUGGUAAUCAACCAUAACACCUAGGUUCAUAGCAACCUGUGAAAUUUUGUUGAAAUUGUGUUGAAUCAGCCCUAAAACCUAAUCUUUAACCCUA